UACGUAGGGGGCUAGCGUUGUCCGGAUUUAUUGGGCGUAAAGAGCGUGUAGGCGGCCAGGUAGGUCUGGUGUGAAAACUCGAGGCUUAACCUCGAGAUGUCAUCGGAAACCAUCUGGCUAGAGUCCGGAAGAGGAGAGUGGAAUUCCUGGUGUAGCGGUGAAAUGCGCAGAUAUCAGGAAGAACACCAAUGGCGAAAGCAGCUCUCUGGGCAUGACCUGACGCUGAGGAGCGAAAGUGUGGGGAGCGAACAGG
rnacentral:rRNA from 1 species